GCUGGGCAUGGUGGCGGGUGCCUGUAAUCCCAGCUACUUGGGAGGCUGAGGCAGGAGAAUUGCUUGAACCCGGGAGGCAGAGGUUGCAGUGAGUCAAGAUUGUGCCACUGUACUACUCCAGCCUGGGUGACAGAGCAGGACUCCGUCUCAA
ensembl:misc_RNA Metazoa_SRP Metazoan signal recognition particle RNA